rnacentral:rRNA from 1 species
AUUGAACGCUGGCGGUAUGCUUUACACAUGCAAGUCGAACGGCAGCACGGUAGCAGCUCUGGUGGAGGGUGGCGGACGGGUGAGUAAUUCAUCGGAACGUGCGCGGUUGUGGGGGAUUACGUAGCGAAAGUUAGGCUAUUACGGCAUAAGCUCUGAGGAUGUACGCGGGGAACCUUCGGGCCUUCCGAGCUUGCAGCGUUCGAUGUCAGAUUAGCUAGUUGGCGGGGUAAAGGCCUACCAAGCCGACGAUCCGUAGCUGGUCUGAGAGGACGACCAGCCACACUGGAACUGAGACACGGCCCAGACUCCUACGGGAGGCAGCAGUGGGGAAUUUUGGACAAUGGGCGCAAGCCUGAUCCAGCCAUACCGCGUGCAUGACGAAGGCCUUCGGGUUGUAAACUGCUUUUGUACGGAAAGAAAAGGCUCUGGUUAAUACCUGGCGCUCAUGACGGUACCGUAAGAAUAAGCACCGGCUAACUACGUG